GAUGAACGCUAGCGGCAGGCCUAAUACAUGCAAGUCGAACGGUGUCUUCGGACAUAGUGGCGCACGGGUGCGUAACACGUAUGCAACCUACCUUACAUUGGGGGAUAGCCUUUCGAAAGGGAGAUUAAUACCGCAUAAGACAGUAGCUGGGCAUCCAGCAGCUGUUAAAGAUUUAUCGAUGUAAGCUGGGCAUGCGUCCAAUUAGCUAGUUGGUGAGGUAACGGCUCAACAAGGCAAUGAUUGGUAGGGGAACUGAGAGGUCAAUCCCCCACACGGGCACUGAGAUACGGGCCAGACUCCUACGGGAGGCAGCAGAAGUGAAUAUUGGGCAAUGGACGCAAGUCUGACCCAGCCAUGCCGCGUGCAGGAUGAAGGCGUUAUGCGUUGUAAACUGCUUUUAUACAGGAAGAAACGACUCUUGCGAGAGGCAUUGACGGUACUGUAUGAAUAAGCACCGGCUAACUCCGUGCCAGCCGCCGCCGUAAUAC
rnacentral:rRNA from 1 species